GGGUGGGUUGCUCAGUGGUUAGAGCCUAGGGCUCGUAACCGUAAGGUUCCGACUUCGAAUCUCGCAAGAGGCA
rnacentral:tRNA from 1 species